GACGAACCGAGCGAACGUUGUUCGGAAUCACUGGGCUUAAAGGGCGCGUAGGCGGUCUGUCAAGUCUGGGGUGAAAUCCCGCGGCUCAACCGCGGAACUGCCUCAGAUACUGACGGUCUCGAGGGGGGUAGGGGCGAGCGGAACUGAUGGUGGAGCGGUGAAAUGCGUUGAUAUCAUCAGGAACUCCGGUGGCGAAGGCGGCUCGCUGGACCUCUUCUGACGCUGAGGCGCGAAAGCUAGGGGAGCAAACGGG
rnacentral:rRNA from 1 species